UGAAAGGCAUGGAAUCUGAAGGCAGUGAAUGUGAUGCUUGGCAAGAUGAAGCUCGUUACUUAGGUACAUCAUUUUCCUUCUAGGUUAUGUGUUAUGUGAUAUUGAUGAUCGAAUCUAUGUGAAGAUUAUUGAGAGAAUACUUGUUUUAGGUCAUGUUAAAUGGGAUUGAACCUGUAUAAAUGCUUCUGAUUGAUUUGAAACUGAUGGAAUAUUGAUGCUAUAUAUCCCUAUCAUACACAAUGUACCUGCUAUACAGUUUGUUAGUGUAAUUACUAUACUGUUACUGGUUAUAUCUGUAGUUUCUGAAAUUUGAUUUAAUAAAUCAGUGAUAAGAUUGUAAUAAAUUGUUUGUGACUUGUAUGGAAUGCCUUGCCAGUUCAGCAUUAAACAGUGAUCUUCCCUGUGAUUGAGAUUUAGGUUCUGUUGUGUAGGCAACUUUGCAUUUUACUACAAGUGUUUUUAGUCUGUGUAUUUUGAUUGAGAUCUGUCUUUCCUGCUGUUUAAAUAUUUUGUUAUUCAAUGCUAUUAGCAUUUGAAAUACUUUUGUCCUACCAGUUUUGCUUGUGUUAGAUCCAUAUAGGUUUAGAGUUCAAACAUAUCAUUCUUCCUAUUGUUAACUAGUAAUUAAUCCCUGUAAUUGUAAAAAUAGCACAUCACUGUAUGUUCAAGGGCACAAACAACCGAGGCUGGUAAUUCUGUUUUCUUUCUUUCCUUUAUGAACUUUGGCCUUUGACUCGCCGCUCUUAAUAGUUUUAUAUUAUUUUGAAAGGUUCAAUGUUUAAUGUCAUAGUCACAUAAAAGCAUUCUUCAGGCAUGCUUGUACAUAAGAAAAUAAUGUGACUUUCAGCUUCGUCAUGUUUUUGCACUUCUAAGCUUAUCAUUUUUUUUAGUUUCCAUAUUUCAUUUCAAGUUUUCCACCAUUGCAAGUGGUUGAAUACCAGCCAGCAAUACAUUAUUAAUCUUUUUUCAUGGAUAAGAAUAGCAAGGGGCAACACAUUGGAUCAGGUGGAAUGGAAUCUGACCCACAGUCCAACAGGGAGGAGGCAAACAAAUUGCUUGAAAGUGAUUUGGCCAUUGCUAACUGGGCGGAGAAAAGAAGAAGAAGAAGACGAAGAAGGCAUUGCAAGCACAGGAGCAUAUUCGAGGAUUUGAGCACACGAAUGGCCUUUAUGGAAGUCACUUGCGAAGCACAGGUGGUAAAACGCCUUCUUCGUAAUGGAUGUUUUCUUCUCUCCAGACACAACAACGCCUGAACCUCAGAAAGGAGGUGGGCCUUCAACAUUUAAAAACCCAUUUUGCAGGCUGCAAAUGGCACAUUCAUUUCAAGGCACUCUCGUUGCCUUUGUGACUAAUGAGUGGGAGCGUGUCCGAUAUGCAGCAGGACCAUCUUUCCUCCUACGAAGAUUUGCUUUCACACUGCAAAGAUAGAAAAGAAGGAAAGAAAAGGGAGAACACAGGUAGGCAAAAGCGGCCUUCAAUAAUUUGGUGACUGAAGCGAUGAGACAUUUAUUACACACACAACCGUUACCCUCCAGACGCACAUGGACGUCUUGGGACGACGAGGCCCCAACCCAACUUAAUUAAUGUCUUGACGUGUGUUCCUUGAUGAGACAUUUCGAGUACAGCAGAUGUUUCCAACAAACUUAAAUAGUGUUUUUUUAAAAAAAAUUAUUUCAAA
rnacentral:lncRNA from 1 species